rnacentral:tRNA from 1 species
GGACUUGUAGCCAAGCUUGGAUAUGGCGUCGGACUUCUAAUCCGAAGAUCGCAGGUUCAAAUCCUGCCUGGUCCACCA